UCGCGCUGCACGUGUGUGUGGGCCAAACGUGCGGACGAUUCUACACGUGGUCGCUUUUUUUUUUUUCUUUCGCUCUAAAUGAAAGAAAUGAUUACAUUUUUGUGCACAGAUUGCGUUUCUAAGUCAGUGUCUGGAAAUGCGAACCUCCCGUCAGAUUAUGUUCCUGAAAUGACCUGAUGCACGCGAGGACACGUGGACAGAGUUUGGAUGGAAAUGUAAAAUUUGCUGCACGGCGCAUGCGCAGUACAUGAUUUCCGAGGAAUAGGGAAAGAUGUGAAGCCUUGAAGGAAGACAGUAAGAAAUCUGCACAUCUGCUCUGGAUUGAUCGAAAUGAAGCCUUCUGCUUAACAGUAAGACCAAAGUCAGUCAGAUUGAAUUACAUUUUGUACAACUGUGAUUUUUCUAAGCGAAAUGUGUCUAAAUGUAACUACUUUUUUUUGGGGGGGGGGUCUUUUGUAGGGUUGAAUGACCUUGUAGACAAAGGAAGAAUUGUCGACGGUGAAUUUGAUGCUUCUACAAUAAACCUUAAAGUACACGACCAUA